GUUGCUGUGAACAGGUAAUCUGUGUGUAAAUGUUGUAACUGUGUUCAGUGUGAGGGACUCAUUUUAAACGUCUUUUCAAAGAAAUGAUCAAACACAUGUAGAGAUUCAGCUCAGCUUUAUGUCACAUCAAUGUCCAUGUUCCUGUGUGAAGAAGUGUGAGCUGUCAGAGUGGAAAGAAUGAACGCUGUCAGAGUCUUUCUGAGGUGAAGAAGCUGCAGGACACCAGCUGCUCCAGCAGGUGGCGACUUUGUGCUUUGUUUCUAACAGUGUAGCAGGAACUUCCUCUCAGGUAGCAGGUGCUGCUGCAUGGAGGAGGACAGAUAGUUUUCUGAGCAUGAACGCUGCUUUAAUGUCCUGGAGAGAUAUGAGGCUUCAUGAAGGCUUCUGGCUUGUUUCUAGGGAUUGUUGCAUUGACAAACUGAAGAACAUGUUCUGUGAUCAAUCAGCUGAAAGCCAGAAGGAAGAAGUUUGGACUUUGUUGUUGCAGAGGAGGCCUCAGGUCCAGGACGUCUGUGCAGCUCCUCAGAGGCUGGAGGUUGAAGCUCAGCUGCUGCUCAUGUUGUUGUGUUGUAAUGCAGGAUUUCUGGCUCAUUAGCUGCAACAGGAAGCUGCUGUUAUGUCCAAGGCCAAGAGAUAUCUUUAAUGAACUCAUUAAAUGCUCAUUCAUUCAUAUCCAGUGGAGGUAGAGGGUCCUGGAUGCUGCUGCAUCACAUCAGCAGCUCUGAUUGAUAAACUUGUUGGUUUAUCGUUCUUUGGGCUGAACAGUUUGUGACACAGUGAUGGAGUUAAAGUGAACCUCCGGUGGACCUCCAUCCCAGAGGAGGGAACACGGUCCAUCCUCUCUACGCUGGACAGAGUUUCUCAGCUCAGGACCAAUGAAGCGAGGACCCGAUGCCAGGUCCAGUGGACAGACUUCAGACGUCUCUGCAUGUCCGGUCCUGUCUCUGGUUGCCUGGUUACAGAAGCUGCUGCACCCGCACCUUUAAAAAUGUCUACACCUGAAACUCCACCACGUCUAAAGAAGCAAAAACGUUUGGAAAUGUACAGACUGGAGUGGGAAGAGUGGAACCCCUGGCAAUGGAUACAAGGCAAACUGUGUUUUCUGUUGCUCAUGGACUGGCUGAAGUAAGGCAGCAUCAGGAGACAAACAUGGAGGAAAUAUGAGAACAGAGAGAACCCAACCAGCAGGUCACAGUUUAUCAUCAUCUAAUCAUCUCCUGAAGUCCAUAUGGUCCCUCUCUAUCUCCCCACACAUCCACCAACCACUGGAACACAUCUCCAAAGUUCUGCUGGACCAGCUCAGCUUCCCCUCAGAAGAAGUGCUGCCACCUGCCAGAUGAAGGAGCCUUUUGAGAGGCAGCUGGCAUCGUGAUUGGACUGUACUUUGGUCUGUUCCAAUCCAGCUUCAGCUCCAGAGACGGCAGGCGGGACGAGUCAACGGAGGCCUGGUGGACGAAGGCAUGCAGCUGAGUACAAUCCAGAAAACAACAGAGGAGGAGUGCAGCAGCCCAGAGCCAGAACAACCAGAGUAGCAUCGUAUGUCUCUUAGAAAACAUCAUAGUACAGCCUUUGGUAUGAAAAAACACCAUAAUAUACAUCGUAUAUUGUACAAAUAACAAGUCAAAGGAAAGAGACAUACAUUGUAAAUUGUAGUAAUUGUGGGCUGACUGAUUUACUGAUUAUCAGUAUUUUAUUUUUUACUGAUUUAUGGUAAUGAAUCAAUUGAAAAAUGGCGCUACUUUGGCUCUGAACCUUUAUCUACCUGUGGUCGCUCUGUCCUCUGGAGUGAUUUGAUUGGUUAUAUGCCACGAAUAAAACUCCUUUAACUUAACAUCUGUAAACAAAACAAAAACGUAUCAACAAAGUUUUCUGUUAGAGUUUGUGUUCUUCUAAGUUUAACUCCAAGAUUUUAAAUACUUUCAUUUACUGCAAAUGAAUAUCUACUCCAAAUGUCUCACUAAUAAUCAUUAUCAGCCUUAAAAACCCACAAAACACCCCUCUAUACUGGACCACACUUAGUACAGUCCGGUUCCCCCUUCUAUAAAUCUGCUUGGAAUCGUCUACUUCCUGUUUGUCAAAGUGGCCUUCUACCUGCACAGGUUUUGUUGGA